ensembl:misc_RNA 7SK 7SK RNA
GGAUGUGAGGGCGAUCUGGCUGCAACAUCUAUCACCCCAUUGAUCACCAGGGUUGAUACGGCUGAUCUGGCUGGCUAGGCGGGUGUCCCUUUCCUCCCUCACCACUCCAUGUGUGCCUCUCCUGCGCACUCAGUCUUCGGUCGAGGGUAUACAAAUAGCUGUGCUCCCCUGCUAGAACCUCCAAACAAGCUCUCAAAACAGUGGGUCAUGAUUUUUUAACAACCCAGUAGAUUUGAUGUAUUAGGUUGGUAGUAUAGGCAAGUUUAUUGCAAGAAGCACAGGUUAGGCACCAGGGCUCUAGUGUCCCUCCCU